GGAGCUGCUGUUUCAUUAACUGCCAGUCGACAGCACAUACAUCAAGCUCCCACAAUGCUUAGGGAGUGCAACUGUAACCUGCAGUGAUCCACCCGCAAGAAGAGUCGCCAGUGAUGGAUUGUGUGACACGAGCUGAGAGCACACACACUCUGUCUCUCUCUCUCUCUGCACACAUACACACUUAUAUACACACACUCACACAACACAACUCUCAUUAGUUCUGAUGAUCUCUGGAAGAAAUCAACAAUUCCAAGCAAGGUCGAUAUAAAUGUUAAUACAUAUUUUAUGUCGCUACUUCCAGCUGCUGCUCAACAUCGUGGGCUAAAUCUAUCCAUCAUCACACACACACACACACACACACGGCUGGAUUCUUUUAGCUCAUUGUAUUUUACAAAUUCACAGUAAAUUAAAUGGUUGCAGCAGCAGCAGAGAUUGUUCGCAUUUUAUUAUUAUAAUAAUUAUAAUAUAUAUAUAUUACAUAUAUACAGUAUAUAUUUAUAAUUAUGUUAUUAUAUAUGAUUAUUGGCAGGACACCUUGAGGCAAACAGACACAGGAGUUACUUCUGAGAUGACGACAUGACGAGCACCCCUGACCCUCUUAUUAACCUUCUAUCUUCUUAUGGGGUGCUGAAAUCAGCUCACUGGACAACUUGAUCAACUGAGGAACUGGAUCAUCUAUGUAGUGAAACAAUAUUUGAAGAGUAAAUCUUCACACCUCACACAUCCAGUGUCUGCUCCUCUUCACCAGCUGUGCCACAUCACAUUCU